UGCAGAAUUCCAGGUCUUGGCAUCUGUGUUUCAAGCAGGAGGGAGAAGGAAAAGGGUUAGGGUUGGUGGGUAGGCUCAGUGCGUAGGUAGGAUGCUUGCCUCAGACACACAAGGCCCCCAACACAACCCAAGCUGGCAGUGGUGAGAUAUAAAUGCCACUUGGUGUCAUGGUUAGUUUUUGUCAACUUGACACAAACCUAGACACACCAGGGAAGAAGAACUCUCAACUGAGGAAGAACCUUCAUUGGAUUGGCCAUUGGUAUCCCUACUCUAUUCUGCCAGGUAGUGGAAAUGUAAUCUCAGUCAUCAAAACAAUACAAAGCCAACCGACCGACCGACCACCAACCAACCAAUCAACCAACCAACCAAUCAACCAAUUGAAAAACAGCAGUGCUAUGUAAAGUGCAUGUAGGUGCCUUUGAAGGCCAGAAGAAGACGUCGGAUUCUGAGGAGCUGGAGUUACAGAUGGAUGUUAGCUGCCUCACAGAGAUGCUGGGAACCGAACUCAGGUGCUUUGUAACUUGACAACAGAAGCCACAGUGAGACACAGACAACAGAAGCCACAGUGAGACACAGACAACAGAAGCCACAGUGAGACAUCAGCUGCACUGGACACAACUGGAGUCUGCUUCUCCCAGAGGAGGGGAUUUUCUAAGAUGCCAGAUCCCCUUACCUCCUGUGGAAUGCACAAUCAGUGUUAACAAUGGCAAUUAGACUCUGUGCCAUCUGGAUGGCCUGGGCAAGCGGAGCUGCACAGUGGCUGGCAGAAGGCAGAAGUUGAGCCAGGAUCAUAGAGGCAGCUUCUUUCUGUGGAGCUGGACCAUGACCAUUACAACCAGGAACAACUGCUGCUCAGUUCAUUGACUCAAGAACCACCCGAGUGUCAUGAUGGGAGUCCUUAAGAAAAGAGUCUUCUCUCUUAAUGGGUCCAACUUCAUAGGUCCUGAUGGUCACAGGCCUGGCUCUCCAUUCAGAACAGCUCCUGCCUACAGGUUCCUGCCCUGCUUGAGUUCCUGUCCUGACUUCCUUCAGUGAUGAACAAUGCUGUAGAAGUGAGAGUUUGGGAAGAGACAAACCCAUCAGUGGUAACUUGGUGGCUUGGUGACUUAGCCACUUGGUGUUAAGCUGUUGUUCCCCUUCAUUCACUUGGCUAUUUCCCCCUGCUCCACACUGGGUGUCCUUAGGAUGGCAGAGGCCAUCAGAUUGCUUUCCCAAAGUCCUCCAGUACUCCUGCUUUGCCAGGGACUGUCCUGGCUAGCACAUGCCAUCCUGGAAUAAAAACGAUACUUUUUGUUUCUAGGCAUGCUCAAGUCUGGGUGACAAGUUAAAAAACGUAGUGUAUCCAAGCCACGUGAGCAGUGCCUGCUUCCCAGAGGACCUGUUUCUGCUGGCUUUAGGUGGGGGCAGGUCAGCCCUCCUCUCCCAUAGGACUUGCUUUCUCUGCAAGAGACAUUUCUCUGAAGCCUGCAAACCCUAGUGCAGCUCUCCCUCAGCUAUGGGAUUUGGGGGCGAGUUAUUUUAUUGGCUUGAAUCUCAGUUCCUGCAAGGGUUAAGGGGGGAAAUGAACACAGUAUUUGGCUCUUGGGCCGUGCAUUUUAGCCAAUCAUAUUUUUCCUUCAGAGCAGGAAUCUAAACCUGAGAGUCUUGGGGCAGGGGCCCAGGACAUUCCCAAUUCUGAAGCAAUGUGUUCUUUGUGGUUGAAGGGGCUAUCACCCACCGUGGGAUGUUGCCUUAUGCGAACCCUGAUUCAUUCACUGACGGCUUGUUCCUUGCUCACAGGCCUUUUGUUCUCAUCUGUCCUCAGGCUGGGCCUGGACAGACACACCAGGCUGCCCUAGGUCUGUGCGGGAGCCAUAGAGGACUGUUCAUGUACACAAACAUGCUCUCUUUCUCCAGGUUAGCUUCCUGCCAGGCCCCAACAACAUGAGCAGGAGUUAACCCUUGGAAUCCAAUCAGAUCUACAAGUUUCUGGGAGUCUUCUUUCAUAAAAGUGGGAUGGGGCUUAAGAUGCUGUACUUCUUAACAAGAACCCAAGUGACACUGCUGCUGCUGGCUCAGGCUUUCUGAAGCUUUGGGGUCUUGGGGAAAAAGUGUGUUUCCUGGAGGCUGAGUCAGGAUUUUUCUCAGAGCAGACUGAAGAUUCCCUGUGAGCAGCAAGCCCUUGGUGUGGGUUUUCUCCACCCACGGCUCUGUGGUACUCAGAAGUGAGUGGACGCUCGAUAAACAUUCAUCUCUUUCUAGAGUUGAAACCUAACUGAGAGCUAUAGAUUUCUCCUUUAGUGUAGAGCCUGCCAUUGGUCCGUCAUACACAGGGUAGCUGUCACCUCACUAGGUGAAAUGAAGAUUAGGUCAGAUGGCAAUCGUGUGUGGGUUGUGUGUUUGAGACAGACUCUUGCACUGGAUUCGGGCCUAGAACUCACCAAGUAGGGUGAGAUGGACUGGCUGAUUAACCUGAGACGUAUACCAACUUUCAUUUCAUUUCUUUACUGUUGGGAUUACAAGUGCAUGCCAUCACGCAUGCCGUGUGUGUGUGUGUGUGUGUGUGUGUGUGUGUGUUCACUGGGGAUCAAAGUCAAGUCAUCAUGCUUGCCGUUUUGAUUGAGUUAUCUCCCCAAUCCUGAUUAUAUUUUAGACAUCUUCCCCACAACCCUUUUUGAACCAGCUAGUGCCCUACUGCCAUUUCCUCUUAAAUACAGUGGCUCUCAAAGUUCUGGGAAUUUGUCAGAAUGGCAAGCAUCACAGCCCUACUCUAGACAUCCUGAGUCAGAACUGGAAGUGAGGCCAACCAUCAUUGGUAGCAAGCACUUCAGGCAAUGCCCAUGCAUACAGCAGCCCAAGCAAGACCUGCCAUCCGAGACGCCCAAUACUGACCUGAGGCCAAUGUGCAGCUCAGAAAGCCUUGGUACCCAGAAGUCUUUGAGGGGUCUGCUCAUUGUUACGGUGGAUGACUUUACACCUAGGAGCCUGGGCAGUGAUUCCAAGGAGGUUUGAAGGAUAGCAACUUCAGGUAAGGAAAAGCAGAGGCAAGGGAUCUACCCCCUGGGGAUAAUUGUUUGGCUUUAUGCAAAUGUUCUGAGCCAUAAAACCAGCCAGUAAGGUACAGGAGAUAUAUGCUUCCCAUGCUGAGUGGUCUAAAUAGAAUAUUAUCAGUGCUCGGCUUCCAAGCUUCUAUCACACAAAGCCUUAUCGGCAUGAAAUACGCCACACCUGCUAAAUGAAACGCACAUGGGGACAUUAUGGGAGUUUUCAACAGCAUUUUAUUUUGCAUAAUAUAGGGUUUUUUUUUCCAGAGUAGGAAUGGUAUAUUAAAAAGUCAGCAGGCACAGAGAGCUUGCCUUAAAAUUAUUAUUACUUCACUCUGGUGCAGCAGACUUUAUUUUCUUCUUCCUGCUGCUACUGUGCAGAAACACAGACUAUUCUGUCCAGAAGAAACCAGAGAUCAGUGAGCCCAUUGCUGAAAUUUAUGGGGGAAGACACUGCUGUCUGGAGGUGUGAGGUGACUUUCUCUGAGCAAAGCCCUGGGGGCUGGUACCAGCCCUCAGCCUAUGAGCUGUCUGCUGAGUACCCCCAGCCCCCAGGAAUCCUAGACCAGCUGAGGGAUCUGGGCAAGUGGCCUCAUGCUUUCUCUUAUACAUCUUAGCGUCAGAGGAAUGGGUGUGCGUGUAUAUUACUUAUGCUCGUGCACACAUCCUAGCUUAGAUGCCCAGAUAUCUUGCCUCCUUGAAUUUACAAGUCACUUCUCAGUGUAGUUCAGUCAGAAAUAUCUUCUAUUUGCAAAAGUCCUAGCAGGGGCUGGGGGCAUUGGUCUCCAGGAAGCCAGUAUCAUCAUUCUUGCAGAUGAAGUUUUCAAUCUCAUGUUGGGGGUAGGGAGGGAGCUGUCUGGGCCAUUGUCCAGCAUACUCUCAGAUGGGUGUGGUGCCAGCUUUGAUGGUCUUGUCACCCUCUAGAGAUCCUUAGUACAUUUGAAAGAGGAAGUCUACAAUUUCAGUUUGAACUGGGUUCUGCAAAUUAUGCCUGGACUCUGCUCACAUCUUUUUACAUCCUUCACUUCACGUUCCUCAAGACUCGGCGUCUCCAAGCAACCUUUAAUGAUUUCCCUAGUGGGUAUCACUCGAGCUUGAUUACUCCUUUUCUGAAAUGCUUGGGACCCAAAGUGUUUUACAUUUUGGAAUAUCGGCAAAAACAUAAUGAUAUAUGGAUAGGACAUAAGUCUAAAUGUCAUCUAUGUUUCAUAUAUUCAUCAUACAUGUAGUCCAGAGAUAAUUUGAUAUACUAGUUUUAACAAUUUUGUUCAGGGGUUGGGGAUUUAGCUCAGUGGUAGAGAGCUUGCCUAGCAAGCGCAAGGCCCUGGGUUCGGUCCCCAGCUCCGAAAAAAAGAAAAAAAAAACAACAACAAUUUUGUUCAUGAAACAAAGUUUGUGUGAACCGAACCUUAGAAAGUAAAGACUUCACUCUCAGCCGCUCAUGGUGAUUGGCUAUCUGUGGUUGCUUGGGUAUUGCCAUCACUAUUGACUCUGAAUUAUAUAUUACCGAUAACUACUCAUCUUUUCACAUUUAUUCACAAGUAAAUACUUAGUAGUAUAAGAUACGACUGUAGCUAUUUCACCACAUAGAAGCUCAAGUAGUUCUUGACUUUUGAAUAUUUUAAAUAGUGCAUUUGGAGUAGGAAUGUCCAGUUUGUGUUAGAAUGCUAAUUUUGUAAUAGUGGUGAUAUUAAUCCCUGUUGUUCACUUGCUCUCUACCAAUGCUAUGAAGCAGACUAUCUACUUUCUUGGUAUAGUUCAUUGGUAGAGCUCUACACAGUCUGUGCAAGACAAGUUGUCUAACAUCAAACUAUAUUCUAAACUCUCUUAAAAAGAAUAAUAACAGUAACAAAACACUAAGACCCUUUUAUUUUGAGAAGGCCUUUCUCCCUCAGUUGUCCAGGUUGACCUUGAACUGACUUGCCCAAGCAGGUCUUGAACAAUCUGUGUUACUUUGCUGACUAUCUGUGGUUAGAGGUCUGUGCCACCAGGCCAGGCUCAAGGUAAAUAUCAUUGCCAUCAUAAUAUUUAGCAUAGGAGCAGGCUGAGGCUCACAUGGAUUAAUUGGCUCAUGGUUACAUAGCUAGGCGUGUAACCCCCAGGUCGCCUGCACAGGGCAGACACCCACUGAGCUAUGCAAUUUCUAGGCGUUGUCUGAACACUGACAAUUUCUUCUUGUUUCUUCUUUUUAACUGUAGGGGAGAAAUUGUGUCCUUCAUUGCAGAUAUGCCCCUUCUCCAGUUUUACCAGGUACCCUGCCCAGCGCAGGCAAGGCCCUCAAUGAAUAUUUACUCCAGAAAGGGAUUUGGUGAAAUUCAAUGUGUGUUUAGCAGAUCAGAACGUCCUGCAAACUAUUGAGGCUUUCAGGUUUAUGCUUAACUUUCUCUAUGAAGGAAGCUGCCCAAUAUGGAGGGUGAGAGCCGUGUGAUGCUUUCUGUUUGACUUCAUGAAUUAUUUAUGGAAUUAACACUGGAAUCAUGAUUAAUUUGUGGAGGUAAAGAAGUUGCCGCAUGGCUUGGUGCCCAUAUUUUCCUGGCAGGGAUAAAUUACAUUCCCAAGGGCUUCAAGGUGAAGUCUUGGGAUGUUGGUUUCCAAGGGCAACACAUACUUGGACUUUCUUCUUGCUUCUCUUGCUCCCAGUUGAAAAACAAAAAAACCAAGGAAACACAAAUUAUACCUACACCAAUGGCAAAGGCCCUUGUCUCUGAGUAGCAAGCCAAUUGGGAUCCUUUCAAUAUUUAGCUAAUGUGUGUCUGUUAGGUACCCACUGUGUACUGUGCAUUCAAGACCAUUCCCCAGUGGUCUUAAAUCCAAGGAUUCAUUUUCUGUCCCUAUGAGGAGGCAGAAGUUCUUGGUAGAAGGACUCAGCAAUAGAAUAUAGAUCUUUACUGUGUACCAAGUGACCAGUGUCAGAAAUGCAUGUCCUCAAGAGCCAUAGUGGGAACUAUUCCUGAAGACAAUGUUCAUGUACAAGUCUGGUCUAGAGACUGGAAAGGAACAAGUGUUUAAAGGCAAAGACAGGGGCAGGGUGGGGGCAGGGGUGACCCCCCCAAGACCAGGAAUUUAAAAUACAAAAGGUCAAAAGCAGGACCCAGGAAAAUAAAAAGUCUGGUGUUGGGACUGAUCCCGAGAGGAAACCCUGAGGUGACCUCUCAGGAAGAAAAGCGUGGAGAGAAUCUGGUUUUGCAAAGGGCUUGGUCCUGGUCUUAGAGGCUGACACUGGAUGAUGGGGUCUGUGCUGUCUGUGUCUGACUUGAGGUUCAUUAUAAGGGCAGCUCUGUUAGAAACAAGCUCUCUUCUGCUCCAGAUCCACAAGGCUCCAUGGGCUCCCAGCUCCCUGGUGGCUUCCAGAGGAGCAAGAGGCCUAAAUGGCCCAGAGGAAAGCAGGGGAAGCAGGGAGGGGCUGCAGCUGAGCGGACCCUUGAUCCAGCUCCAUCAGCAAGCUUGCUUUCUGAGACCCGCAGGAGAAUGAUAAUCUCUUUCCCAUUUC